CAGGGAGACAACAAAAUGUUUAAUAUUAUUAUUUUGUCACCUUAGGUCGAUCGGUAUCUCACGUUCUUAAUUUAUUAAGGAUUUCAUUUCCUAAGUUUUUCUAGGUCACACCCAUUAUUUUCCCUGGGCCAUUAGCUCAGGUGGUUAGAGCGCACCCCUGAUAAGGGUGAGGUCCCUGGUUCAAGUCCAGGAUGGCCCAUAUCUCUAUGUUGGGGGUAUAGCUCAGUUGGUAGAGCGCCUGCUUUGCAAGCAGGAUGUCAGCGGUUCGAGUCCGCUUACCUCCACUGAUUACCACCUCUUCCAUAAUCUGUAGAAAGGGAAUUUUUUGAGUCGUGACCAAAUUCUGAAAGAAUCUAGCUUCCUAAUGAAAUCAUUAAGAUGCUGGACUCAUUGAAUUAAUUUCAUUGUUUUCAGAGAACCUUGACAACUGCAUAGAUUAUUUUUUUUAAAGACAAUAAGCAUCUUUAAUGAUGCAGAUUUAUUAUUUGUGCGAAUGCAUUAAUAACAAUUCUAUUAAGCUGAUGCUUCAAUUUUUUGAAGUUAUU
rnacentral:tRNA from 1 species